UGGGCGCAAGCUGAUCCAGCCAUGCCGCGGAGUGAAGAAGGCCUUCGGGUUGUAAAGCAUCUUUCGGCCGGGAAGAAAUCGCAUUGGUUAAUACCUGGUGUGGAUGACGGUACCGGAAUUAAGAAGCACCGGCUAACUACGUGCCAGCAGCCGCGGUAAUCGUAGGGUGCGAGCGUUAAUCGGAAUUACUGGGCGUAAAGCGUGCGCAGGCGGUUUUGUAAGACAGGCGUGAAAUCCCCGGGCUCACCUGGGAACUGCGCUUGUGACUGCAAGGCUAGAGUACGGCAGAGGGGGGUGGAAUUCCACGUGUAGCAGUGAAAUGCGUAGAGAUGUGGAGGAACACCAAUGGCGAAGGCAGCCCCCCUGGGUCGAUACUGACGCUCAUGCACGAAAGCCGUGGGUAGCAACAGGAUUAGAUACCCUGGUAUCCACGCCCUAAACGAUGUCAACUAGGUGUGGGGAGGUAAAACCUUUUAGUACCGGAGCUAACGCGUGAAGUUGACCGCCUGGGGAGUACGCCCGCCAGGUUAAAACUCAAAAGAAUUUGACGGGGACCCGCACAGGCCGUGGAUGAUGUGGAUUAAUUCGAUGCAACGCGAAAAACCUUACCUACCCUUGACAUGUCAGGAAGUCUUGAGAGAUUGAGAUGUGCCCGAAAGGGAACCUGAACACAGGUGCUGCAUGGCUGUCGUCAGCUCGUGUCGUGAGAUGUUGGGUUAAGUCCCGCAACGAGCGCAACCCUUGUCGUUAAUUGCCAUCAUUUAGUUGGGCACUUUAGCGAGACUGCCGGUGAAAAACCGGAGGAAGGUGGGGAUGACGUCAAGUCCUCAUGGCCCUUAUGGGUAGGGCUUCACACGUCAUACAAUGGUUCGGUACAAAGGGUCGCCAACCCGCGAGGGGGAGCCAAUCCCAGAAAGCCGAUCGUAGUCCGGAUUGCAGGCUGCAACUCGCCUGCAUGAAGUCGGAAUCGCUAGUAAUCGCGGAUCAGCAUGUCGCGGUGAAUACGUUCCCGGGCCUU
rnacentral:rRNA from 1 species